rnacentral:rRNA from 1 species
AGCUCGUGUCGUGAGAUGUUGGUUAAGUCCGCCAACGAGCGCAACCUUCGUUCUUAUGUUGCCAGCACGUGAUGGUGGGGACGUCGUAAGAGACUGCCGGGUCGAACUCGGAGGAAGGUGGGGACGGACGUCAAGUCAUCAUGCCCCUUAUGUCCAGGGCUUCACACAUGCUACAAUGGCCAGUACAGAGGGCUGCGAGACCGUGAGGUGGAGCGAAUCCCUUAAAGCUGGUCUCAGUUCGGAUCAGGGUCUGCAACUCGACCCCGUGAAGUCGGAGUCGUUAGUAAUCGCAGAUCAGCAACGCUGCGGUGAAUACGUUCCCGGGCCUU